CCGCGGCUGGUUUGAACGCGUUCGUAACACUCUCUGACCAAGAGUGGUCGAGUUUAUUGGAAAUAUAAACUAGAUCUGUGGGAGAUAAGCUGCGGGGAAAAUAGCUACAAUCUGUCGGGUUAAAACAGCAUGCUUUAUUGGCGAUACAUUAGGAGUAUACAAAAUCAGAUAUAAGAUUUACAAGUCCCGAAGAGGCGAUAAAUCCAUUCCAAGAGGCUAUUCAAGACAUUCCUCAGGAGGAUUGGCAGAACUGCUAAAUACAAUGGUUCCAAAUGAAUGAAAAACUGUGUUAAGAAUGAACGAAUAUACUUUGAGAAACAAUAAUAAAUAUAUAAAAACAUAA